UGGCUACGGGUGUAACUUCAUAGGUAGCAUUACGAAAUUCCGACACGCAGUAACACGGCCACUGUGGCCAAAAUAAUUAACACAAAAAGGAGCAGCACAUCCACCGUUAGAUGUUAAAUUCGUGGUACAAUUGAAGUCAGCGAGAUUUUAUGGCUCAAAAUAAUAUGGAAGAUAGGAAUGACAAAAUUGCGUUGGAGAUUUCAUUUGUGAUAAAGUUGGACUUGAAAAAUUAGUUGUUAUAUCACACACUAGUAGAAUAAUGUAUGCACAAAUGUAGACCAAAAUAUAUAUUCCUAUAACAAGGAAGUUCAAAUAAGAUAUUUAAACAUUGUAUGUGGCCAUUGACGCAGAAUGAAAUAACAUGUGAAACAAAAGAGUCUUUCAAAUGCUGUUCUUGAACUUAUAGUAGAAUGCUCUCGUACUCGACAAGGCAAACAGGAAUUCGAUCAAUUGGCAUAGCCAAUUUUUUUCUUUUCCUAUUAAUAGUAGGUACAUACCUGGAAUUUCGGAUGGUCUCGCAAAGAAGACACAAUGUUCU